UUUCUUAACCACAAGUGUAUGCUUUCCACUUCUCUGGGUUGAUCAUUAUUUUCCUAGUAAAUACUUUUUACCUAGUAAAUACCAGUUUACCAAAUGUUAACCAGAUUUGUAGAACCUUUUUUUUUUUUUUUAAUGUUGCAAAGACCCGAAUGAUGUUGGAUAAUUGUGGGAAAAGUAAAUCCGUCUCAGGAUCACUGUCACUGCUGUUGCCACUAGUGAUUCUUAGGAAAACACAGUCGACUUUUCCAACAAAAUGUAUGAUACUAUAUGUUCGAUAUUAGAACAGUUGUCCCAUGAAUGAUUCUAUGAAGCUAUGCAUCUUAGACCUCUUGAGCUGUGAAUUAGCACUAUUUUCUAUAGUUAUUAUUCUCCUUGUUUUAUACUUUCCAUGUGCAUUUCAAAUAAUGUUAAUGUUAGUCAAUCAUUUUCUGAAUUGUUAACUCUUACUCUCUGGUUUAAAUACUGAAACAUGAUUAAUUGCUAACUACAGCUUAGAAACCCAGUAUCAAUUGUAUUUAACAUCGUUAGGAGCAUGAUCAUAAAUGCUAUGUUGACACAUCAUUUUAACAUUUAGAGUUGAUAAGGGUUUAUAUCUCAUCUGUCCAUAUCGUUUGCAAAGGAACAAGGUCUUAUGUAGGUGAGAGAAGGCAUUUGUACGAAGUUAGAUUUGAACAUAGACAGGACAGGCCUGUUCCAUUUGAGAAUGUUGUUGGAAGAAUGUCUGUGAAUCCAGACAUGGGUCCUGCUUAGUGCCGUAGGUAGACUGAGUCUCCUGUAGGCCAUCAUUACGUAGUAAUUUUGGUUCUGAAUUUUACAUUAAAUUAUUUGAGUAUAAACAAACCUAAAUUUUAAAAUCUGUAAAUAUAUUAUUUUGAUGUAUUAAGAUUGAUAUUGAUGAUUUAAAUUUUAUUUAUGCACAUACUUAAAGGACAGAAAUGUCUGGGAAAAUAAUUGUUAAAUAAUGAUAUGUAGCUUUUUAACUUUUUAAAUAAAUAAGAUUUUUUUAAUGUGGGUCUCCCUCAGGGUUGUUUAAAGUUGUUUGUUUUCCUCCCUUAAAUAUAAAUAAAUAGUGGUAACUGUUUUCUACCUUCUAGCACCAACUGCUGUAAAGGAAUGCUGCAAAUAGUGCUUGGGUGAGAGCAGUGACUUUUAUGUUUUAUAAGCCUGACAUUCUGAAGCUCUCCAAUCGCACCUUUCAUUUCAGCAAGCCUGUCACUGUUUUCACACUUUAUCCCCAUGAUGAAAGCAGUGCACAGUUCCACAGGCGUGGUGAAGAAUGUUCGCUUUCACUCGUGUGUAUAUAUGUAUAUGCAUACAUAUAUAUAUAUAUAUUCCAAAAGCAGCAAAAACUCAGAUCCAGUGACGAGCAACUUCAAGCUUUAGAGAACACCUAAUAUCUCAUGCAUGCAGUUCUGUUGUAUCAAAAGGAUUUUGUGUAUUUAUGGUGGGAGGCUACUGGGAACUUUAACAAGAUAGGGUAUUAACUUUUGUACAGUCUGGGCAUUUACAUGUAUUUUUAAUGUAUUACAAUUUGGUAAUUAUGUGCACAUGAAAUUAAUAAAAGUUACUUCCUGUUAUAAUUUGUAAAUUCCCUGAGACCGUGGAUUUUUUAAGUAACUUUAUAUAUCAGAAAUGACACAUCUUUAUAUUUUUAAAAUUGUAUUGCUGCUCAAAAAUGGUACCCUGUUGUCAAAAAGGUAGAUAUUCAUAAUUGUACAUUCAGCCUUGUAAAUAACUGUAUGAAAUCUUUUUUGAUUGAAGCUAUUCAAAAUAAAACUUUUAAUGAAUUAAAUAUGUC
rnacentral:lncRNA from 1 species